ensembl:lncRNA
AAACUCUUCAAGCCUGUCUUUCUUGUGAAAGCCGUGAAUCAAUCAGCUGUGGCUUUUUUGGGGGCUUUUCAAUGUAUGGUGAUCAUUUAGAUUUGACGUGCAUUGUGAGACCUGGGCUCGCCUCCCCUCUCUGGUCUGUCAUUAAUUCCAGCCUCUGCUAUUCUGAAGUACAGUGAAGGAUGGCUGAGAAAUCAUUGCCCUCUUCAGCUCCGUGGUUGCACAAAAUAGCGCAAUAAUUUUUUGUCAAUGUUUUACUCUAAAAGCUUUCUACGUCAGUUCUGAAAAGGAAGCAAUAAAGCCCAUUCAAUGGGUAAAAGCCAGACAUAGUGCAUUAUGGUACAAGAAAAGCAGCAGAAGGAGCAGCGGGAGCCAUCCGAGGAGGAGACGCAGCGCGCGGUGCCCGGCUCUCGGAAGCCUCCAGAAACGGCCCUCCACUCCGUUGGCUUGUUGGCUUGUUGCUGCCGCACAGCAUUUGGCUCCUCGUGGCUGGGCUCCAGCUGUGCCCAUCGCCACCUCGGCUGCGGCAGCCGGGAGACCCUGCCUGCCGCCCCCGACGCCCGGGCUGCUCCGAGCCGCCUCGCGGCCCCACGAGGAUCGGAACCCGACCAGACAGCAGCUGGACGUCCGCGCGGGAGAACGCCUCUUGUCCUAAUCCGCCUCCAGACGCGUGACGCCCAGGCCGGACCCAAAGGCAGCCCCAGGCCGUCAGCUUCCUUGGGGCGCUGUGCCGUCCGCGGCCUCGGGCGGCCCUCGCCCAGGCGCUCAGCCCCUGCACGGCUGGGCUCUCAGGAUGUGCGGGCCCUCCUUCUCCCUCCUUCUCCCUCCAGAGAGGCAGACCGCGCUUGUCUGGUGUCUGCUCCUGCCGCCCUGGCGUCAUCAGGGAGCCUGGUUCCUUCCUCCAGGGAGCCGGGUUCUGUGACCAAGGACGCUCCAAAAAAUGGUCUGUGCCGAGAGGAGGAACGGGUGCUCCCUGACGGGUACCCGAAGAAGGAGGGGGCGCCGCCUUGAGAAUUUGGGGCAGGACUCUGGGGCCGAGGAUGCUGGCCAGGCUACG